GGUUGCGUGGUGUAGUUGGUUAUCACACCAGUCUAACACACUGGUGGUCCCCGGUUCGAGCCCGGGCGGAAUCA
rnacentral:tRNA from 1 species